rnacentral:rRNA from 1 species
UCGCUCUGGGAGGGUCUCGCGGCCUAUCAGCUAGUUGGUGGGGUAACGGCCCACCAAGGCUACGACGGGUAGCUGGUCUGAGAGGACGAUCAGCCACACUGGGACUGAGACACGGCCCAG